rfam:Schistosoma curassoni strain Dakar, Senegal genome assembly, scaffold: SCTD_scaffold0006078
UCAUUACUGAGGAGUCUCACCAUAGGACGAAACGAUCGUCCAAUGC